rnacentral:rRNA from 1 species
GACGAACGCUGGCGGCGUGCUUAACACAUGCAAGUCGAACGGAAAGGCCCUGCUUUUGUGGGGUGCUCGAGUGGCGAACGGGUGAGUAACACGUGAGUAACCUGCCCUGGACUUUGGGAUAACGUCAGGAAACUGGGGCUAAUACCGGAUAGGAGCUCCUGCUGCAUGGUGGGGGUUGGAAAGUUUCGGCGGUUGGGGAUGGACUCGCGGCUUAUCAGCUUGUUGGUGGGGUAGUGGCUUACCAAGGCUUUGACGGGUAGCCGGCCUGAGAGGGUGACCGGCCACAUUGGGACUGAGCUACGGCCCAGACUCCUACGGGAGGCAGCAGUGGGGAAUAUUGCCCAAUGGGCGGAAGCCUGAUGCAGCAACGCCGCGUGCGGGAUGACGGCCUUCGGGUUGUAAACCGCUUUCGCCUGUGACGCAGCGUGAGUGACGGUAAUGUGUAAAGAAGCACCGGCUAACUACGUG